rnacentral:rRNA from 1 species
GACGAACGCUGGCGGCGUGCCUAAUACAUGCAAGUAGAACGCACAGUUUAUACUGUAGCUUGCUACACCAUAGACUGUGAGUUGCGAACGGGUGAGUAACGCGUAGGUAACCUGCCUGGUAGCGGGGGUAAACUAUUGGAAACGAUAGCUAAUACCGCAUAAUAUUGAUUAUUGCAUGAUAAUUAAUUGAAAGGUGCAAUUGCACCACUACUAGCUGGACCUUCGUUGUAUUAGCUAGUAGGUGAGGUAACGGCUCACCUAGGCGAGGAUACAUAACCGAACUGAGGGGGUGAUCAGCCGCACUGGCGAGGGGACGAGGCCCAAACCCGUAAGGGAGACAGCGGCAGGGAAUCUUCGGCAAUGGGCGGAAGUCUGACCGAGGAACGGCGCGAGAGUGAAAAAGGGUAUCGGAUCGUAAAGGUCGGUUGUAAGAGAAGAACGGGUGUGAGAGUGGAAAGAUCACACUGUGACGGUAUCUGACCAGAAAGGAACGGCUAACUACGUG